UCAGCUGAAGUGUUUCAGAAAUUGAGGCAUUUGAAGCAUGUACAAAAGGACAGAAAACAUAAACUCAUGCCUGGCAGAGAGCUUCUACUCUGAAGAAACAACAACCGAAGUGUCACAGGAUGAAUCUAUGCUAUUUGGAGAGGGAGUAUACAUUUAACUUGAAGCAAUCCCUGGAAGAAAAAUUCUACUAGCAGAGAUGCUCUGAGCAGAGAGAAAGCCUGUCUAUAUAGUGAAAGAAUGAAACCAAUACAUUGAAAAAAACUGAGAAGAGAAAGAGGUAGAGACUUCAUCUGAUACAAGCAUGCUUGAAACAAGAGACACCUGUAUGAUUCCAUCUUCCCAGGAGCUAGCAGGCAGUUCUUGUUGAGUUCAAGCCAGUUGAGACCAUCAACCCUUCAACUGAGCCUGCAUGGGUGCGUAAAGUGUGACCUUUUGAUGUCAAAGGGCCAAAACCUGCACCCUCCUUUCAUGCUAAUUCAACCAUUUUCUGAACAUGCAUCCUAUGAAGAGCCAUGUAGCUCAAUUAUGCUUGUGCAGAAACCCUGAUUACCUCACCUUUCCCACCUGCCAAUCACCUUUACCCAUACUUCACACCAUCCUGCUUUCUAUCCCGCUAAUUACCCCUAAGCCCUGUUUUCAGGGAGGUGGAUUUGCGAUUUGUUCUCCUUCUCCUUGCUCAGCAGCCUGGUAAGCAAUCUCACAAAAUAAAAUCUUUUCUUUUUUGCAAAA